rnacentral:rRNA from 1 species
AAUAGCCUAACGGCUGAACCAGCAAUUUGGAAGAAUGUAUAGCAAUAGCUGAUUGCACCAACAAACAGUUGAUGCAAAAUUGAUUAUAUCAAAUAAAAUUCUAGGUAGAUUUUUGAUAAUGACAUUGCUUACCUAAGUCUUGACCAAAUUACGUGCCAGCAGUCGCGGUAAUACGUAAAAGACUAGUGUUAUUCAUCUUUAAUUGGUUUAAAGGGUACCUAGACAGCGAAUAAAGCCAUAGUAGGGACUAAUUCGCUAGAGUUACUUAUGAGGGGGUAUUAAAGUACUGCAGGUGUAGAGAUGAAAUUUUGUUAUACCUCUUUUCGUAUGAGAAACUAUGGCACAGGUAUAGGUGAAAGCAUCCCCUUAUGUGAUAACUGACGUUGAGGGACGAAGGCUUUGUGUCGCGAACAGGAUUAGAUACCCCAGUAGUCAAAGCAGAAAAUGAUGAAUGUCAUAGAUUAGAUAUACAAUUUAUUCUAUAAAUGAAAGUGUAAGCAUUCCACCUCAAGAGUAAUUUGGCAACAUUGGAACUGAAAUCAUUAGACCGUUUCUGAAACCAGUAGUGAAGUAUGUUGUUUAAUUUGAUGAUACGCAAAAAACCUUACCACAAUUUGAAUAUUUAUAUAUAUCUUUUAUUGAUUUUUACUUACAUCUAUGUAAAUAAUUAAAAUGAUGCUUAAAUCUCGUUUGUGAGACUGAGCAUGAAAAAAGAUAAUAUAUUUACAAGCGUUGCACGGCUGUCUUCAGUUAAUGUCGUGAGAUUUUGGUUAGUUCCAUUAAAUUAACGUAAACCCUUACCUUAUUUUUAUAUAAAGUAGUUCCCCGCUAUAUUGGAUAUGAUAACAGGGACUAAGACAAGUCAUCAUGGCCUGAAUAUUGU